GCCUUCCUGGUGUAGUGGUCAGCACGCUCGGCGCGUGUUCAAGAGGUCCGAGGUUCGAGUCCCGGCGAGGGUA
rfam:Stegodyphus mimosarum contig78309, whole genome shotgun sequence.